CAAAAUUCAAAAAAACUCACUCUGAUUCCCUGCUCCACUACCUCCCCACUCCCUAAAUCUCUCUCACCAUAACAAACUCCAACGUCUCUCAGCACAACACGCAUAAAGGCACUGUUCACGCUCCCUCUCUCACAAUUCACUCACUCUCAUCAUCACUCACUAUUCACCCUAAAAAUUCUCUCACAAAAAUACCCACCUCACCGUUCCCUCAUUCGCUCACUUCACACUCUCAUCAACACACAAACGCUCAGAAUUCUCUCUGAACUCACUCACUACUCACUACCCUCCUUCAAUCUACAAACCCAAAUCCGCUGUUUCGCUCAAGCUACCACAAUCGCCACCGUCUAAACCAACCUACCGAAAAACCCCUUUUCACUCUCUGCGAAAAUCGCUUCAAACCCAUCACAACUCAACCGCUGCCGGAAAUCUCCCUCUCCGUCAUAACCCGCGACCCCACCGCCAAAAAUCUUCCGCUUCAACCACCGUCGACAGUUACAACAACAACUGCUCCAACGGCGACGUCUCUGUUGCCGACGCUUUGUGGAAAAGUCAUGAUGUUUAUUGUUUUGAAUGUUUGACAUUUAUUCUUAUUUUACAGGUCGAUUCGUUUCGACGAUUUCGGUCUCGCAAACGGCAAAGGCAGUUUUUUUGUUCAUAGAUUCAAAAUCGAAGCAGGGACAGGCAAGUUUCGCUCAGGCUUGUGGAUUGGCUGGAAAGCUCACCACUUGUUUCGACCGUCCAAAGCCACUCAGCAAAAACCGUAUCACCGAAACGCCGCCGCCACGACUCAAAGAAACAAUACGAGCUUCGUCGUCAGCAAAACGAUAAGGCAUUGACAGGCCCCGUCCCAUACCAGUCUGUGGUAGCAACGCAAAGAAAGUACUCUUAACUCGGUUGGUUUCCGCACCCGUUGUCUGAUUUCUUUUGUUGAUGUUUACUGGUUUAUUUCUGUCAAAGUUUUGCUCAAACCCGGUUGUUUUCCUGAGAAUACUUUAAUCACAUAAUUAAUUUGGGUGUCUUCGAUUUCAAUUUCUCAUUUAGUUUCCCUCUGUUUGUUGCUGAAGAUUUAAUACCAGGUUGUUGAAUGUAUGAACAAUGUAUGUGCUGCAAAGAUGUUAUAAAUUUCAUUAUCAUAUGCUAUAAUUUGUUUAUCCAAAAAGCUGUUCAUCUCCGACUUGGCGUGUCUGUUGUUGCACUGUUAUUGUGGAUUUAUGAUUCUGGAUUUGCUGUAAUAAUCUUCAUAAAAGUGAACGUAUGUUGUUGUGUUGAGUGAUUGGGUUAAUUACGUUCUCGUUACAAUCUUGUUAGAAUCAUAGUUUUUUAGAAUUAAGGUGAUGACCAUCGGCUUUGCGCUUCUGGAUGUUUCAAUUCCGGAUUUUUUAUUACGAUUUUGGAAUCUUGUUUCGAUUAACAAACGGAGCGAGUAUUCUUGGUUUGUAGGCGUCAAUGAUUUUGAUAAUGUUUUAGUUGGCCAGUUUGUUGCUAAAUAGGAGCAGGUUCUGUUUGUAGCAUCUGUUAGUAGUGUUGAUUUUUUUUUUAUAUACAUAUUAAUACCUGGAUUAAGGAAAGGUACUGGAAGUUCCUUCUUUAAAUCUCUCUUGUGGUAAUUAUUAUCGUACUCUAACCAUUACACUCAUUUGUUUAGGAAAUAUUUCAAAUCAGUUUAAAAGUAUAGGCUAGGCUAACUUAUAUAUUUUAGUAACUUUGGUUUCUAAUUCUUGUUGUAGCUUACCUGUCAAAGAAGAUAGUUGUUAAGUCUUAUCAUUGAUUCAUUACAAGGUUUUAAUAUUUAAAUUAAAUUUAUGUAGAAUGUUCUAAUCCUUUCAACAUUUUCUUUCUUUUUUUUGAGAUGAUAUGCUUUCAAGUUAAGGAAUGAUAAUAGGUUAGGCUUAAAAGUCCA